rnacentral:rRNA from 1 species
GACGAACGCUGGCGGCGUGCUUAACACAUGCAAGUCGAACGGAAAGGCCCUGCUUUUGUGGGGUGCUCGAGUGGCGAACGGGUGAGUAACACGGGAGUAACCUGCCCUUGACUGUGGUAUAACUUCAGGAAACUGGGGCUAAUACCGGAUAGGAGCUCCUGCUGCAUGGUGGGGGUUGGAAAGUUUCGGCGGUUGGGGAUGGACUCGCGGCUUAUCAGCUUGUUGGUGGGGUAGUGGCUUACCAAGGCUUUGACGGGUAGCCGGCCUGAGAGGGUGACCGGCCACAUUGGGACUGAGAUACGGCCCAGACUCCUACGGGAGGCAGAAGUGGGGAAUAUUGCACAAUGGGCGGAAGCCUGAUGCAGCCACGCCGCGUGCGGGAUGACGGCCUUCGGGUUGUAAACCGCUUUCGCCUGUGACGAAGCGUGAGUGACGGUAAUGGGUAAAGAAGCACCGGCUAACUACGUG